AGCAGCCGCGGUAAUUCCAGCUCCAAUAGCGUAUAUUAAAGUUGUUGCAGUUAAAAAGCUCGUAGUUGAAUUUCGGGAUUGACGUGAUGGUCGUGCCUUAAGGGGUAUGAACUGUUGCUGUUGAUUUCUCACCUUCUGGAGAAACUUGAUGUCCUUAAUUGGGUGUCUUGCGGAUCCAGGACCUUUACCUUGAAAAAAUUAGAGUGUUUAAAGCAGGCAUUUUGCUCGAAUACAUUAGCAUGGAAUAAUAGAAUAGGACGGCAUGGUUCUAUUUUGUUGGUUUCUAGGAUCACCGUAAUGAUUAAUAGGGAUAGUUGGGGGCAUUAGUAUUCAAUUGUCAGAGGUGAAAUUCUUGGAUUUAUUGAAGACUAACUACUGCGAAAGCAUUUGCCAAGGAUGUUUUCAUUAAUCAAGAACGAAAGUUAGGGGAUCGAAGACGAUCAGAUACCGUCGUAGUCUUAACCAUAAAC
rnacentral:rRNA from 1 species